rnacentral:misc_RNA from 1 species
ACACAUUGUCUAGUUUUUUUGAACUUUGCUUUGGGUGCAUCAGCCUAGCUGCGUGCCCAAAGGUCUAAACACAUUUUUUUAAUGUUAAAACCUUUAACCAAUAGUCAUGAAAAUUUUUAACAAAAAUUAAAAUCUUCAAAACUUUCAACAACGGAUCUCUUGGUUCUCGCAACGAUGA